rnacentral:rRNA from 1 species
CACGUAGGGCGCAAGCGUUGUCCGGAAUUAUUGGGCGUAAAGAGCGCGUAGGCGGUCCGAUAAGUCGGCUGUGAAAGUCAGGGGCUCAACCCUUGAAAGCCGGCCGAUACUGUCGGACUAGAGUCCGGAAGAGGCGAGUGGAAUUCCUGGUGUAGCGGUGAAAUGCGCAGAUAUCAGGAGGAACACCGGUGGCGAAGGCGGAUCUCUGGGCCAUUACUGACGCUGAGGAGCGAAAGCGUGGGGAGCGAACAGG